GGGGUUUAGUUUUUGCCUUGGUUAGGGUUAUUGUUAGUAUGUAUAUAUGGAUUUUAGAGGGUGAGGAGUGUAGUAUAUGGAAUUAUUUAUGAUUGGAAGUUGAAUUAGAGAUUUUUUAUAACUGAUAGAUUUAUGUGCCAGCUGUAGCGGUUAGACAUAGGGUUAAGAUUCUAAUGUAUUGUGAGAUUGGAGAUAAAUUUUUGGUGAAAUUUUAGUUGUGGAAGAAGGGGAAGUCAUGAUGUUAAAAUAGGAUUAGAUACCCUAGUAUACGUGAUGGAAGAGGAAGAAGGUUAUUUAAAGAAUUUGGCGGUACUGAGUAAUUUUAGGGGAAUUUGUUUAUGAAAUGAUAUUCCGCGAGGAACUUGCUUUUUUUUAGCUUGUAUAUCGUUGUAUAGAUGAUUUGGGAGUAAGUAAUUUUCGUAAUGAUGGCAAGAAUUCUAAUCAAGGUGCAGCGUAUAAAGGAGAUUAAAUGAGUUACGUUAGGAUAAUUUUCGGAUGUUGAAAUGUAAGGUUUGAUUGAAGAUGGAUUUGAAAGUAAAUUUUUCUUAGAGGGGUUAGUUGAAUAUUUAUGAGGUAAGUACAAAUCGCCCGUCGCUCUAAUUUAAUAAUUAGAUAAGUCGUAACAUAGUAGAUGUAUUGGAAGAUGUAUCUAGG
rnacentral:rRNA from 1 species